CUUCCCAUAAAUUUAAUAUGUAAAUUGAAACUUGGAGAGCUGAUUACACUGUUCCCACUCCUCCUAUCUGUAAGACUUCUCUCCUGUGUGGAUUCUCUAAAAUAGAAUUUCUUAAUUUGGAGUCAAUGUGCUUUAAAAAAAAACCUGAUAUCUAUAUUUCAAUAUAAUUAGUUUCAUUUGUAAUUUUAUAUAUCUUUUGCAUUUAAAGUAUUAUUCUAAGAAGAGGUUCUAGGCUUUAUUAGACUGUUAUAGGGGAAAUAUAAGACACAAAAAGGUUAAGAACCUCUGUUCUAAAGAUUAUAAUCUCAAUCCAAUGCCACAUCCUGUUUUCUCACAAUUUGCAAAAUAGAGAUUACAUAAGUAUUACUUAAUUCAUUGGACUAUUGCGAGAAAACUUUUUAUAACUUUAAAACUUCAUAUAAAUAUGGACUGCCUGCGUGAUACAUGGAUGCCUUUGGAAUUCUAAGAGAGAAAAGGAGAGAAAUCUCUUGUUCACGUGGAGAGUGGAAGAAAGAAACAUGGCAAAAAAUCACUCUGGAUAAGAAAGUCUAGAGGGGUUUAAUCUGCAAUACUCAGGUGUACUCAAUAAAAUCAAAGAUUCCCCUCAAAGUAUGAGAGCCAAGUGAUUAAGAUUACAGUUUACAAUGCAUUUUCUGAAAAGGAGGAAAGGAAGGGAAGCCAUUAUUUAAUGAAACAUCUUUAUUAUGCUCCAAAACCACAGCAACUAGUACAGAAAUAAAUCUUUCAUGUUUGGAGACUAUCUCCUGUGUGGAGAAUUUCCUCUUUGAGGAAAACUAUCAUUAUAUUGGUAUUGGUUAUUUUAAAAACCAUAGUUCUUUUGAUAGUGCACAAUUAUUGCUAGAAAAAAAUUAACUGUGAAUUCAGACUAGAACUUUUAGUGUGUUAAAAUGCUUACUGGAAAAUGAAUAUUAUGUCAAAAUGUGAAUCUUCAAGAACAGAUGCUAAAACAUUUAAAUUGAAGCCCAAGUUAGUGCUGCAAAAAUACAGAUUUAUGCACUGUUAAAAGAACCAUGUGAAUUUCCAAAUCAGAGAAACAGAGCUUGAAAAAUUGUUAAAAACAGCAAUUUUGAUACUAAAUGAACUCCCAGAAAAUGCAGCAUUCUUUCAGGCUAAAAGAAUGCAAAUAGAAAAAAAAAUAGAAUGGAAAAAUCAAAAUGGCUUCAAGUAUUUGACCCAUAUGGAAUUAUGAAAAACAUUUCGGUGGCAAGACAAAAGCUCUCUUGUUCAAGCACUUCCAGGGCUGCACUUUCACUAAAUAUAUCCUGUGAAGAGUGUUUCAUUUCUCCACCCCUUUGCUAAACCAAUCACAUUUUAACAAACAGUGCUGGCUCCCUUGGGACAAGCAAUACAGAGGUAACAAUGCCCUAGUUACAAGACUUUAAAACAUUUGUUGAGAGCAAAUAGCUUCUAUUCAGAGCUACAGUGCCUCUUCCACAUAUUAUUUUGGGAGGAAGAAAUACAGAGCAAACAAAACUGUUAAUUUUUGAAAAUGCAAAACCUUUGCAUGUCUUUAAAAAUACGAAAUUUUUAUAUGUAAUUUAACCAUCUAAAAAAUAAGAAAUAAACAUCUAGAACCAAAUACCACCUCUUCUGAUGCUUUUAAUUGUAUAAGUUCACUUUUUUUUCUUUUUUCUGUUGCAGUCAGUUUAUAGUCAUGACUUCCUGCUCUGCUUGCUUCCUGAUAGACUUGUUCUUUGUAGGUUGUGACCAAGUGUCAACUCAUUUGGUUUACUGCCACUUUAAAACCACCUCCCAAUUGGACAAAUAAAGCAUUGUUUUCCUCUUGAAAAAUCUAAGGGAGACUGUGCUCUUGGUGUUUAUAAAAGAGGUAAAAUGAAUUUUUAAAACCUCUUUUUUGGAUAUAUUCAAUUUGUCAAUCAGGAAAAUGAUCACGAAUGCAGAGAAAAUGUUGACUCAUAUUUUCCUUUACGUAAACAGUAGCCUCGUGACUGCUUCACAGCUCUUAAAGAACAAGGAAUUUAUGCUGCAGAAAUGUACAUUUAAAGAAGUCUAAAACUAGGGAUUUUAUUCUUUAGUGUUUGAAAAGUGUCCUAUAACUUUAAUUUCAAGAUUCAGCCUGAUUGUUAAGCUUUAGUAACAAGACGAAAAAUGGUAAUAGGCUUGUGAAUUUUUAUGUAAAACGUGUGCUAAAUUAUCUCUCCUUGGCUUCCAUCACCACCCUAGCCUCCAUUAAAAAAGAAACUUCCUGGCAGUUUAAUAAUGCCUUUACCUUCCAUUAUACAAAAUAAAAGUUGAGCAGCAUUGGUCCCAUUGGGAGUUUAUGGUAUUUUAUACCAAAUAUAGGGAAAGCACUUUGCGAGGAAGGCAUUUUUCUUCCUUUCUAAUACCUAUCAAGCACAUGUGGCAACAUGGAAUAAGGGAAAGAAACUGAUUUCAACUCAAAAGACUAGGACUUUCAUGACCUCUAGCAUCUCAUUACCUCUCCCUGGG
ensembl:lncRNA